rnacentral:rRNA from 1 species
AGUUUGAUCAUGGCUCAGGAUGAACGCUAGCGGGAGGCUUAAUACAUGCAAGUCGGAGGGGUAACGAGGGGCUUCGGCCCGCUGACGACCGGCGCACGGGUGAGUAACGCGUACGCAACUUACCUCCAAGCGAGGGAUAGCCCUGGGAAACGUGGGAUUAAUACCUCAUGUGAUUAUGAUGCCGCAUGGUGUUAUAAUUAAAGUUCAGGCGCUUGGAGAGUGGGCGUGCGUCCUAUUAGCUAGUUGGUGAGGUAACGGCUCACCAAGGCGACGAUAGGUAGGGGGCGUGAGAGCGUGGCCCCCCACACGGGUACUGAGACACGGACCCGACUCCUACGGGAGGCAGCAGUAAGGAAUAUUGGACAAUGGGCGCAAGCCUGAUCCAGCCAUCCCGCGUGCAGGAUGACAGCCCUACGGGUUGUAAACUGCUUUUGUUAGGGAAGAAACCCCUCGAUUUAUCGGGGGCUGACGGUACCUUUCGAAUAAGCACCGGCUAACUCCGUG